rnacentral:tRNA from 1 species
UGGGGUGUAGCUUGGUGGUAGAGUACUUGGCUAGCAUGUGGGAGGACCUGGGUUUAAAUCCCAGUACCCUCA